rnacentral:tRNA from 1 species
GUCGUGGUAGCUCAGCGGUAGAGCACCAGGCUACAAACCUGGAGGUAACGGGUUCGACUCCCGUCCACAACA